AACAACCCUGACCACCAUCUAAGGUCCCUAAGUUAUGGCUAAGUGGGAAAGGAUGUGAGGAUCCCAAAACAACCAGGAUGUUGGCUUAGAAGCAGCCAUCAUUUAAAGAAAGCGUAACAGCUCACUGGUCUAAAUAAGGGUCUUUGCGCCGAAAAUGUACCGGGGCUAAAGCCAUACACCGAAGCUGUGGAUUCUUUGGAACCUUCGGGUUCCCGGGAGUGGUAGCGGAGCGUUCUGUAAGCCGUUGAAGAGAGACCCGUGAGGGCUCUUGGAGGUAUCAGAAGUGAGAAUGCUGACAUGAGUAACGAUAAAGGGAGUGAGAGACUCCCUCGCCGAAAGUCCAAGGGUUCCUGCUUAAAGUUAAUCUGAGCAGGGUUAGCCGGCCCCUAAGGCGAGGCCGAAAGGCGUAGUCGAUGGGAACCACGUUAAUAUUCGUGGGCCUGCGGGUAGUGACGGAUCGCGUAUGUUGUUCUUCCUUAUUGGAUUGGAAGGGCUUCGAAGCGGUUCCAGGAAAUAGCUCCCGCGUAUAGACCGUACCCUAAACCGACACUGGUGGACUGGUAGAGAAUACCAAGGCGCUUGAGAGAACUGCGUUGAAGGAACUCGGCAAAUUGCACGCGUAACUUCGGAAGAAGCGUGACCCUUAUGUACGCAAGUAUGUGAGGGUGGCACAGACCAGGGGGUAGCGACUGUUUACCAAAAACACAGGGCUCUGCGAAGUCGCAAGACGACGUAUAGGGUCUGACGCCUGCCCGGUGCUGGAAGGUUAAGAGGAGAGGUGCAAGCUUUGAA
rnacentral:rRNA from 1 species